CCUACGGGAGCCAGCAGUCGGGGAUAUUGCGCAAUGGAGGAAACUCUGACGCAGUGACGCCGCGUGCAGGAAGAAGUAUUUCGGUUUGUAAACUGCUAUAGGCAGGGAAGAAGAAAGACAGUACCUGUAGAAUAAGCUCCGGCUAACUACGUGCCAGCAGGCGCGGUAAUACGUAGGGAGCAAGCGUUAUUCGGAUUUAAUGGGUGUAAAGGGUGCGUAGACGGCGAAGCAAGGUAGUUGUGAAAUCCCUCGGCUUAACUGAGGAACUGCAACUAAAACUACUUCCCUUGAGUACUGGAGAGGAAGGUGGAAUUCCUAGUGUAGCGGUGAAAUGCGUAGAUAUUAGGAGGAACACCAGUGGCGAAGGCGACUUUCUGGACAGUAACUGACGUUGAGGCACGAAAGUGUGGGGAGCAAACAGGAUUAGAUACCCUAGUAGUC
rnacentral:rRNA from 1 species